GAUGAACGCUGGCGGCGUGCCUAAUACAUGCAAGUCGAACGCUGGAGCUCUAGCUUGCUAGAUCGAAGGAGUGGCGAACGGGUGAGUAAUACAUAAGCAACCUACCCACGAAGACUGGGAUAAUCUCUGGAAACGGGGACUAAUACCGGAUAGGUAAUCGGAAGGCAUCUUCUGGUUAUUAAAGGUUAAAAACACUGGUGGAUGGGCUUAUGGCGCAUUAGUUAGUUGGUGAGGUAACGGCCCACCAAGACGAUGAUGCGUAGCCGGCCUGAGAGGGUGAACGGCCACAUUGGGACUGAGACACGGCCCAGACUCCUACGGGAGGCAGCAGUAGGGAAUUUUCGGAAAUGGGGGCAACCCUGACCGAGCAACGCCGCGUGAGUGAAGACGGCCUUCGGGGUGUAAAGCUCUGUUGUAAGGGAAGAACGGUAGAUAGAGAAUAUCUAAGUGACGGUACCUUACCAGAAAGCCACGGCUAACUACGUG
rnacentral:rRNA from 1 species